rnacentral:rRNA from 1 species
CCUACGGGGGGCAGCAGUGAGGAAUAUUGGUCAAUGGACGAGAGUCUGAACCAGCAAAGUAGCGUGAAGGAUGACUGCCCUAUGGGUUGUAAACUUCUUUUAUAAAGGAAUAAAACGAGGCACGUGUGCCUGUUUGCAUGUACUUUAUGUAUAAGGAUCGGCUAACGCCGUGCCAGCAGCCGCGGUAAUACGGAGGAUCCGAGCGUUAUCCGGAUUUAUUGGGUUUAAAGGGAGCGUAGAUGGGUUGUUAAGUCAGUUGUGAAAGUUUGCGGCUCAACCGUAAAAUUGCAAUUGAUACUGGCAGUCUUGAGUACAGUUGAGGUAGGCGGAAUUCGGGGUGUAGCGGUGAAAUGCUUAGAUAUCACGAAGAACCCCGAUUGCGAAGGCAGCUUACUAAACUGUGACUGACAUUGAUGCUCGAAAGUGUGGGUAUCAAACGGGAUUAGAUACCCGAGUAGUC